GAUGAACGCUGACAGAAUGCUUAACACAUGCAAGUCGAUGGGGAAGUGGUGCUUGCACCAUGGUAACCAUGGCGGACGGGUGGGUAACGCGUAAGGAACUUACCUGCGGGACCGGGAUAACAGCAGGAAACUGCUGACAAGACCGGAUAAGGUCAUUAAGCUGCAUAGCUUAGUGAUGAAAGGAGACGCCUGCGGAGAGCCUUGCGUCCUAUUAGCUAGUUGGAGGGGUAACGGCCCACCAAGGCGAAGAUAGGUAGCCGGCCUGAGAGGGUGGACGGCCACAAGGGGACUGAGAUACGGCCCUUACUCCUACGGGAGGCAGCAGUGGGGAAUAUUGGACAAUGGGGGCAACCCUGAUCCAGCAAUUCUGUGUGCACGAAGACGGUUUUCGGAUUGUAAAGUGCUUUCAGCAGGGAAGAAGGAAGUGACGGUACCUGCAGAAGAAGCGACGGCGAAAUACGU
rnacentral:rRNA from 1 species